rnacentral:lncRNA from 1 species
AGAAGGAGAACCUCAUCCUGAUGGUAACAAAAACCCGACUGCCCAACAAGACUAGAUGAAGGGGAAAGGCCCCUCAGUGGCACCUCUACACUUCUACUUAACCCCGCAGAAAGCAAGGGGAGGACCCUCACUCCAAAAAGAGGAGGGAAAUUAAAAAGGGAAGCGACAAAUUACAUCGGCAACAGAUGAAAGACAAACUACGCCAAAGACAUAGGGGACCUCAUCUCCCCAA